GUGGGGAAUUUUGGACAAUGGGCGCAAGCCUGAUCCAGCCAUGCCGCGUGCAGGAUGAAGGCCUUCGGGUUGUAAACUGCUUUUGUACGGAACGAAACGGUCCGGGUUAAUACCCUGGGCUAAUGACGGUACCGUAAGAAUAAGCACCGGCUAACUACGUGCCAGCAGCCGCGGUAAUACGUAGGGUGCAAGCGUUAAUCGGAAUUACUGGGCGUAAAGCGUGCGCAGGCGGUUUUGUAAGACAGGCGUGAAAUCCCCGGGCUCAACCUGGGAAUUGCGCUUGUGACUGCAAGGCUGGAGUGCGGCAGAGGGGGAUGGAAUUCCGCGUGUAGCAGUGAAAUGCGUAGAUAUGCGGAGGAACACCGAUGGCGAAGGCAAUCCCCUGGGCCUGCACUGACGCUCAUGCACGAAAGCGUGGGGAGCAAACAGGAUUAGAUACCCUAGUAGUCC
rnacentral:rRNA from 1 species